rnacentral:rRNA from 1 species
UUACAAUGGAGAGUUUGAUCCUGGCUCAGGAUGAACGCUAGCGGCAGGCCUAAUACAUGCAAGUCGAACGAAUCUGAGGACUUCGGUUCUCA